GGAGAGGUCAGAAGUGAUAGCCACCUACGCCAUGUGUGGCUACUCCGCCGUGACUGCCAUCGGCAUUACCUUGGGUACGUUAGUCGCCAUGUGUCCGCCCAGAAAGAAUGACGUCAUCAAAAUGGUGAUGAGAGCUUUCGUUGCUGGUAAUGUGGCCAGCUUCGCUACUGGGGCUGUUGCAGGUUUACUCUAUAGAGACCGCUCGUAAGCUAUUAUAUAGAACAUUUGCCAGUGGUGUAUGCUUGUGAGUACCUGGACCUGUCUGAAAUGCAAAGUAUUUUCUGCACUCGUAUUUGUGAUACAUGUAUUAAUGAAGUUUUUAUUUGCUUAAUUUACACAGUUGUUUUAUAUCUUUAAUACAACGAAAUAUAAGUAAA
rnacentral:sRNA from 1 species